rnacentral:tRNA from 2 species
GCCGCAUUCGUCUAGAGGCCUAGGACACCGCCCUCUCAAGGCGGAGAUCACCGGUUCGAAUCCGGUAUGCGGUACCA